UUUGAUCCUGGCUCAGAAUGAACGUUGGCAGCGUGGAUUAGGCAUGCAAGUCGAGCGACAAGUUCUCCUUCGGGAGGANGGAGGAGCGGCUAACGGGGUAGUAAGGCAUCGGAACGUACCCUUCAGUCGGGAAUAGCCACGGGAAACUGUGAGUAAUGCCCGAUGAUAUCUUCGGAUCAAAGGUCCGCCGCUGAGGGAGCGGCCGAUGUGAGACUAGGUAGUUGGCGGGGUAAUGGCCCACCAAGCCUGAGAUCUCUAGGGGGUGUGAGAGCAUGGCCCCCACCACUGGAACUGAGACACUGUCCAGACACCUACGGGUGGCUGCAGUCGAGAAUCUUCGGCAAUGGGCGAAAGCCUGACCGNGCGACGCUGCGUGCGGGNUGAAGGCCCUUGGGUUGUAAACCGCUGUCAGNGGGGAUGAAAGCGCAAGCUUGACAGAGCCUCAGNGGAAGCGCGGGCUAAGUUCGUGCCAGCAGCCGCGGUAAUAAGGG
rnacentral:rRNA from 1 species